GAUGAAGAACGUAGCGAAAUGCGAUAAGUAAUGCGAAUUGCAGAAUUCCAGUGAGUCAUCGAAUCUUUGAACGCACAUUGCGCCCUCUGGUAUUCCGGGGGGCAUGCCUGUUCGAGCGUCAUUGCAACCCCUCAAGCACAGCUUGUGUGUUGGGCUCUCGUCCCCUGUGGACGGGCCUGAAAUGCAGUGGCAGCACCGAGAUACCGGUGUCUGAGUGUAUGGGCAUUGAUCAUCACUCGAUAGACCCGAUCGGCGCUGACCGUCAAACCACGAUUCCUCGGAAUCAUCCAGUUUUGACCUCGGAUCAGGUAGGAAUACCCGCUGAACUUAAGCAUAUCAAUAAGCGGAGGA
rnacentral:misc_RNA from 1 species